rnacentral:rRNA from 1 species
GAUGAACGCUGGCGGCGUGCCUAAUACAUGCAAGUCGAGCGAAUGGAUUAAGAGCUUGCUCUUAUGAAGUUAGCGGCGGACGGGUGAGUAACACGUGAGUAACCUGCCCUUGACUCUGGGAUAACUGCGGGAAACUGUAGCUAAUACCGGAUACGACCCUCGGCGGCAUCGCCAGGGGGUGGAAAGAAUUUCGGUCAAGGAUGGACUCGCGGCCUAUCAGCUUGUUGGUGAGGUAACGGCUCACCAAGGCGACGACGGGUAGCCGGCCUGAGAGGGUGACCGGCCACACUGGGACUGAGACACGGCCCAGACUCCUACGGGAGGCAGCAGUGGGGAAUAUUGCACAAUGGGCGCAAGCCUGAUGCAGCAACGCCGCGUGAGGGAUGAAGGCCUUCGGGUUGUAAACCUCUUUUAGCAGGGAAGAAGCGAAAGUGACGGUACCUGCAGAAAAAGCACCGGCUAACUACGUGCCAGCAGCCGCAGUAA